rnacentral:lncRNA from 1 species
AUUUUUAACAAUUUUCAUAAAUUUUGUAAAUUUUUGUAAAUUUUUACAAAAUAUUUUCCUCUGUAACUACAGGGCCAAGUUCAUUAUAGAUAGAGAUAUUUGUAAACAACAAGAUUAUUCAGUAAAGUAAGAUCUACAAACACAUCACCAUCACCAAAACACAAGUUUGUCAUGAAUCCAUCUGUGUCCUUUGUUUGAUAUGCAC